rnacentral:misc_RNA from 1 species
UCCGUAGGUGAACCUGCGGAAGGAUCAUUACCGAGUGAGGGCCCUCUGGGUCCAACCUCCCACCCAUGUUUAUUGUACCUUGUUGCUUCGGCGGGCCCGCCUCACGGCCGCCGGGGGGCUUCUGCCCUCUGGCCCGCGCCCGCCGAAGACACCAUUGAACACUGUCUGAAGAUUGCAGUCUGAGCAAUUAGCUAAAUAAGUUAAAACUUUCAACAACGGAUCUCUUGGUUCCGGCAUCGAUGAAGAACGCAGCGAAAUGCGAUACGUAAUGUGAAUUGCAGAAUUCAGUGAAUCAUCGAGUCUUUGAACGCACAUUGCGCCCCUUGGUAUUCCGGGGGGCAUGCCUGUCCGAGCGUCAUUGCUGCCCUCAAGCACGGCUUGUGUGUUGGGCCCCGUCCUCCUUCCCGGGGGACGGGCCCGAAAGGCAGCGGCGGCACCGCGUCCGGUCCUCGAGCGUAUGGGGCUUUGUCACCCGCUCUUGUAGGCCCGGCCGGCGCUUGCCGACAACAAUCAAUCUUUUUUCAGGUUGACCUCGGAUCAGGUAGGGAUACCCGCUGAACUUAAGCAUAUCAAUAA